rnacentral:lncRNA from 1 species
GGUUCACAAAAGUCAGCGACACGGGCGCUUCUCUACAGAACAAAGACACCGCGGCCCAUUCACAAAAGGGAGAGAAAGAGAGAAAGCUGAAUAAAAGAACGAGAGAAAUGGGGAAAAAAUGAGAGAGAGAAGGAGGGAGAGAGUGAGUGAGAAAGAAGCUUUAAGAGGAAAAGAAACAGUGCAGAGCGCAGCGCUAACCCAGGCGGGGACACACCUUAGGCUCGCGCAGGCCCCUACCAGGAGUAGCCCGCGAGGCCCGCGGUCAGCCGCCCGCGGCUCGGAGCCACUGUGAUCGUGCUGAGGUUUAAAGAAAGCAACGAAAUAUACCCCUUCCUUAG